GUGCGACCUACCACUCAUUCUCUUCCAUUUCCAUUCUUCUUCCAAUCUCAAGCCAAGUACCCAUUAUCUCUUCUUCUCAAGAGGAAAAUAGCAAGUUUUGGAAUUCCAGCCAAGGAUUCGUAUGCUCUCUAGUUCUCUAAGCCGAACCUAUCUCUUCUCUUCUCCAUUUUCGUGUUUUGAGAAGGAUUCACCAAAGUAAUGAUGAAGAGGCUGGGGAGCAAGGCAUUACUGCAGAGGGAACGACAGGCGCUUAGUAUCUUCCCUGUUGGUUCGACCUUGC